rnacentral:rRNA from 1 species
UACGAAGGGGGCUAGCGUUGUUCGGAAUUACUGGGCGUAAAGCGUGCGCAGGCGGUGAUGUAAGACAGUUGUGAAAUCCCCGGGCUCAACCUGGGAACUGCAUCUGUGACUGCAUCGCUGGAGUGCGGCAGAGGGGGAUGGAAUUCCGCGUGUAGCAGUGAAAUGCGUAGAUAUGCGGAGGAACACCGAUGGCGAAGGCAAUCCCCGUGGGCCUGCACUGACGCUCAUGCACGAAAGCGUGGGGAGCAAACAGGAUUAGAAACCCCGAGGUAG